UACGAGGGGGGCGAGCGUUGUUCGGAAUUAUUGGGCGUAAAGGGUGCGUAGGCGGUUUGGUAAGUCUUAUGUGAAAUCUACAGGCUCGACUUGUAGUCUGCAUGAGAAACUGCCGGGCUUGAGUAUGGGAGAGGUGAGUGGAAUUCCUGGUGUAGCGGUGAAAUGCGUAGAUAUCAGGAGGAACACCUGUGGCGAAAGCGGCUCACUGGACCAUAACUGACGCUGAUGCACGAAAGCUAGGGGAGCAAACAGG
rnacentral:rRNA from 1 species